rnacentral:rRNA from 1 species
UACGUAGGGGGCGAGCAUUGUCCGGAUUUAUUGGGCGUAAAGAGCGUGUAGGCGGCCAGGUAGGUCUGCUGUGAAAACUCGAGGCUCAACCUCGAGACGUCGGCGGAAACCAUCUGGCUAGAGUCCGGAAGAGGAGAGUGGAAUUCCUGGUGUAGCGGUGAAAUGCGCAGAUAUCAGGAAGAACACCCGUGGCGAAGGCGGCUCUCUGGGACGGUACUGACGCUGAGACGCGAAAGCGUGGGGAGCGAACAGG